AAGAGAAGGCUCAGGGGUGACCUCAUCACUCUGCAACUCCCUGACAGAAAGGUGCAGCCGGCUGGGGUUGGUGAGCAGAGUGACUCUACAUUUUCUCUACCAAGAAGUACCCUUCUGUCACCUUUGACACAAGAGUUCAAACCAAUUAUGACAUAAAUAGCUGAUUUUUAGUAAAGUAUUCCAACUUUGGAUCUCGUGCUUAAUGGAAAAUAUUAAAAUUGCUUACACA